UAUAUAUAUAGUGCUUUCUGCUCAAUGCUGAGUAAAUAGCCGCAGUACCCUGACUGUGCGAAGGUAGCAUAAUCAUUUGGCUUAUAAUUGAAGUCUCGUAUGAACGAAGAAAUAGGGUUAAGCUGUCUCCUAGAAGUGUUUUGAAUUUAAUUAAUAAGUGAAAAUGCUUAUAGAGAAGAAAAUAGACGAGAAGACCCUAGAAAUUUUAAGAAAGGCUGUUUGGUUUGGUUUUUGUUGGGGCGACAAGGUAACAGUGAACUUACCAUGAUAUAGAUUUGAUUCUUAUAAGAGGUAUAAAUAAAUUACUCUAGGGAUAACAGCAUAAUAUUUUAAAGUUUGUGACCUCGAUGUUGGACUAGGAUAAUAUAACCCAGAAGGUUAUUAUUAAUGCUCUGUGCG
rnacentral:rRNA from 1 species